AGAAGUGACAUUUAUAUUUGGAAGCAGAAGAUUGACACAGAAAUUAUUCUGAAGCAUAAUUACAGUCAAGGCAAAUGCAUAAUAGAGAAAUUCUGGCUAGAAUUUCUCUGGGCUCCUCCUCCAUCAGUAACUAAUUCUUGCUCUUUUCUCAGCUCUGAGUGGUGAGACAUAGCAGUUCUCCCUGAAGGCAUUUAUAGAAGAUGUAAAGAUUUUUACCCAUUAAGGCAAUACAGCACACAACCACAAGUUGGGAUAUGAGCAAAUGCUGGUUCUGCAACAGCCCGUUCAAGAUAUAAUGGACAUUUGCAGUGUUAUGGUGUAGUGGAAAUGCUAAGUUGUGGCUUGAAGCAGUGAUUGAGCACCUGGUGGGAAGGCAGGGCCAACCCAGAGGACCUCAGGUGCAUGCAAUGCAGCUGAGUGACCAGAAGGGCUGGGGAGCCAGGAUCCACCCCUUCCCAGACCUCAUUUAAAGGUUGGCAGUGGAGACAAAGUUAUCUUGCUGGAUGUCCCUAUCUACCCAAGGCCUUCCAAAGGGCUGUGUGCUCCUGUGUGAGGCCAGGCUAAUAUGGCGAGCUGGAGGAAGAUAACUUUGAACCAGUAACACGUCCUUGUGCCCAUGAAGGCCAAUGGGUCUAAAUAUCUCCAACCUCUUCCCUCCGAACUGAAGAGAAGAUUGUCAGAAUUCACUGCAUGGACUACAAGCAAAAGUGCUCCCAACUGAAAAAUCCAACUGUUGUUCUCUUAGUUUGAAUGCAAAACCAGUAUUUUUCCAAAUGGCGAUACUAGAGGGAGUAGUCACACAGAUUUUAGAGACUCACAGUUGAGUACUUGAAGAUUUUGGUAUCUACUUUUAAAGAUGUCCUUUUUGACUGUAGAAAAUCACAGACUUUGAAUUUAAUAGUUAAAAUUUCCCAGGAGAGCUGGUCUCUGACCUCCAUGCCCCAGGGUGUUUGUUUGCUUACUAAGCACACCUGAAGUAUAUUUAUCUCACUUGCACAUAUUUUAGAGUACAGCAGUCACAGAAAAUAUAUAUAUUUAUGUUUUUCCUUACAUAAAUAAUUAUUUCUAAAAGAGUGCGGCAGCAUCAACUUGAACUGAUGGUAAUGAUACAUUUUGAAACAGACUUGGAUCUGUUGAAAUUUGCUCAUAUAUUCAAACUGCUGUCAUUGCAGGCCUGACAUAGUCUGUCCAAGAGCUCUUCCCUGGUCAUUCUUUAGAUUUGCAUUUUCUCUAUUCCCAAGAAAUCUUCAUGCAGGGAAAAGAUUCUGAGCUCCACUAAGUCAAAGAAGACAAUAUUCAAAUCCAGAAAGAUCCUUUGUUAGUAACUUGCCUAAGAUACAUACACCUAUUUUUUAAUCAUGGAAAACCUGGAAACCUAAAAUAGGCAUUUAGGCUUUGUAUCUAAAGCAUAAAUGAAAUUGCAUGCCUUAUGGUGGGAACGUACAAAAAGAGCAAGCUCCCAGAGUUGGCAAAAGUGGCCUGAGUUUAUCCUAAAUCCUUCCCAUGCCAAGAGAGGACAGUUUGCCGUGACUACCAGAGAAAUUGAUGCAAUCACUGCUUCAUCCUGGGAAGACUGCUCUAAGCAGGUAAGAGCAGGCUGUCCUUACCAUCUUGCUCCUUCUGAAAUCUGCAGCACUGAUUAUGUUUGUAUGGACCUGACUUGACAUUUUGUCUACUGGAUCAAUUCUGUUAGACAUCAAAGGUGAAGAAUCACUUAACCUGUGGAUCCUAGCAGGAUAUUAGCUGAGAUCUGGCAGAAAUCGCUAUUAUGUGUACAUAGUAAAGCAGAAUUUUUUGAGGACAUGCAGUUGACACAUUGGCACCAAUACAAGUGGACCUUGCAUGGAAUUUAGGCAGUAGUGAUAGUUUGGUACAAAAUUGUUUCCCUCAAGAAAAUUUGGUCACCUGGAUUCUGCAAGCAUAGCACUAAUGCUACCGGUUCAGAGUUAGAUUUCCAAAAUACCUAUCCCAAAAUCUCAUUUGCUUUCAGCUGUGAUUGGGCACAGAUUCAGGUUCUGGAAGUCUCUAACCCCAUUGAAUAUGGUUUGUAAGAACUUUUAUAAUAUAAUUAUAUUUAUUCAUGGUAAAAGAGCAUAUUUGGUGGAUAACAUUUUUUGCUAACAGAAAAUACAUGUAUCAGAAAGGUAUGAAACAUCUUUAAAACAUUCUUCUCAAGCAAUCAUUACUGUUUGAAACCCAAACAGUGAUUUUGUUGGAAUAAAACAGAUCUAUUUCUUAAAGUCAUAAGAUUCCCAUUGGUUUCAAUUGAGUUUUGAGUACUCAGAACAUAGAAAAAGAACAUUUUUUAUAUUGAUGCUUACACUUUUAUAUUGGCCAAAUGUACAGUUUCCUAACUUUAAAAAAAAUGCAUAAAUUAAUAAUACAAAAUAAAAAUAGUAUGACCCAAAUUACCUCAAGGCUGAGAUACUAUGUGCCUAAUUUCAGCCCAAUUUUCAUGGCUGUGUUAUCAGAGCCUGCAUAUUUAUAAUGAAAUUACUGACAACCCUUUUUUCACAAGGAGAUUCUCUUGCUUUAAGACCAACAUAAAUAUCGCUAGACAAAUUUACUAUGCAGAAAAACAAACAUUAAUAAGGAUUUUGAUACACAGAAUAAUAUAGAAAUGACAACAUAUUUUUGACUCUGUACAAAGACGUUCAUUCAUCUGUAAAUGAUUACAUUUAUAUCUGUGGCAGAAUGGUAGUGUGGGGCAUAUGAAUCUCACCUUCAAAAGAUAUUCUUUCUUUCUACAAAAAAACCCCAGCAAGCACAGGAAACUUCAAUCAAUGUCUUAUAUACGAAAACUAUGACACUGUCAAACUGGUGUCAUUAAAGCUAACUAACCAUAUUAAACGAAUAUUAAAAUAUAGGUUUCUUUGCAUAACAUAAUGAGUAAAACUGCUUUUAAGUUUUUCCCUAUGCUUUGAGGUGUAGGUGGCAUUUUCAUUCCAAAACUUUGAAGUCAGAACAAAAUGUACAGGUAGAGGGUACUAGAUCAAAUAAUAAUCAACUUCAAAAAGCAUUUUGGCUGUUAGAUGUCCCAAGGCUAAUUUCCUCUAGACAUUUUAAAUGUAAAUGUCUAAACUCAUUUAAAAAUUGUAAAUUGGUCUAGGUUCAAUCAAAAACCAUCCUGACACAGAACAGGGAGACUGGGCUAAUUGUCAUUUGUUUGUCAAAUGAAUUCCAUUUGGAAAGCAAUGAAACCUCCAAGCUAAUUCUUUUAAGGUGAGCUGGUAGUUGUAUUAUCAGUUAAAUGCAGUAAAAUGGAUAAUCACAUGAUGAUAAUGAAAACUGAACCUAUGUUAGCACUCAGGCUUAGUCUGCCACAGGGCAUAUAGUGAUGGAACUUAAGUACUGUAAUGUUCCAUUGGGCACAAUGGCACCAAGUCUGCUCUUUAGCCUUACAGACACUUUCUUUGCAUUUUAAAAAACUUUAUCAAAGCACCGUGGCAAUGUAGAAAAUGUCAAAGUGAAAUGCACUGUAGGCAAAUUGAGAUUUCAUUAAGUUUAAAUUUAUUGCUUUUGACUGAUGUAUUACCAUGCUUGUUAAGAACCAGUAAUUUGGAAUAUCUGCCUGCCUGGUAAAACAGCUUUGUCUCCUUGCGUAAUACUUUAUAUGGACUUUGAAAGACCACAGUAAUUCAAAAAAAAAGUGUGGGUUAUUUUAUUUUUCUAAAGAACAAUUUCAAAUAUUUUAAGGUCCCUGACCUAAUGGAUCAACAGACUCACGCAUGGGUCCCGAGUGUGUUCUUGGUGUACUUGGUAGAAAAUUACAGCACUAAUGUGUUAUUUUUUUGAGUUGGUAUGACACUGCACUCACUGACAACAGAACCUUGGGAAGCGCUCACCAAUUCUACUUGUUCUGCCACUCUCUGAACAUUUAUGUUGGAAAUAAAGUGUUUGUGAGA
ensembl:lncRNA